ensembl:lncRNA
GAGCUUCUUUUGCCAUACUACCAAAGAAUGAGACAUUACUAAUGAUUCUUACGUUUUUUUAUUAUGAAAAUUGUAAAAAAAUAUCAAAUGAUUUUUUAAAGCUGUUUCUUGUUGAAUAUAAUAAAAGCAAUACAUAUAUAGGUACAUUUGUUGAUAUGAACUGUAAUUGUUAUACAAAUGGAGGCAGUUGCUCUUACAAAAACAAUAAAAGUAAGGAUGUUGGUAACAAAGAUAGUAUCAUCGAUGACACACUAUUUAUUAAAGAUGAUCCAAUGCAGUUACAUUUUUGUAAAUUUUUACACUUGUUUAUUUUACUUUUUGUAAAUGACAUAGAUCAAUAUAUUAAUUUAAAAAAAUAUAUAUACAUAGAAAAUGUUAGUUUUGACAGUAAUUACACAAUAAUCAAUAAAUAUAUGAAUUAUCUUCAUCGAAGUUAUUAUAAUAUAUACAAGAAUCGAUAUAUUAUAUUCAUACAUUUACAACAGUAUUUUGAUGAAAUAAAUUUAGAUGAAUCAAUACACAUAAACGUAAAAGAUGAGAUAUUAAUGUUAAUAAUUACUUUAGGAUACUGUCUAAAUUUAUAUGGUUAUUCAUUGGAUUAUAUACACAAAUUGAGCUUAUCACAAAGAGAAUGGAUAAAUCCAUUGUACAGACAUUUAUGCGAAAAAUUUCAUGAAAAUAUGAUAUUAAAAAAUGAUACAUGUGUGAAUGAUAGUGCUAAUUAUAAUAAUAGACCUCUUGAUAAGGUUAACCAUUACAUACAAAAAUUUGACAAAAGUGCAUUUGUAAAUAGUUAUUUAAAAAAAAAAUUGGAAAAGGAAUUGUAUAUACCUAACACUCUAGAUGUAUUAGAUUAUAUAAUGAGCACGCAUAAAAAUGAGUCAUCAGAGUUUAAUAAUAGAAUUAACGAAUGUAUAGGUAGAUAUAUAUGUUUGCAAAAUGUGGAGCGUCCUUCGAAAGAAUUGAAUUUAGAUGAUGAAUGUGAUCUAAAAGAAAUUGAUAAAAUGUGUAGUAUCAUAAUAAAGCAACCGACGUUGAUCAUUAAGGACAGUAGUAAUGACAGUUAUGAUAGUAGUAGUAGUAGUAGUAGUGGUAUUAAUAGAAGUAGUAACAUAUGUAGCGCUAGCAUUAAUGACAACAAUAACUCUGAUAAUGAUGAUGAUGAGUGUAUAAUUGAUGAUUAUUAUUAUAGUAAGUUUAAGCAGAUUAAAAAUGAAAUUUUAAAAAAUGACUAUUUAAAAUUUUUAUAUUACUUUAACCCAUUAUUUUUUCCAUUAAAAAAUUUUCAUGUGAUAAGUAUUUUGAAUAUGUUGAAUAGGGAUCCAAAAAAAAAUGAAGAAAAAAUAUUAAGCGAAACACUUGAUAGAAAUAUAGCCAAAAAUGAGUUAGAUGUAAUAUAUUUGCCUGUACAUAAUAUAAAUUUUAUGAACGACACAUGCUCACAUAUCGAUCACAAUAAUCCUGUGGAUACCAAUAAGAGUCACACAGAUAAUGAACAAACCUCAAAUGGAUACAUUAAUAAGUAUUACAAUAGUAAUAAACAAAAUACGUCUAUACCGUAUACAAGUUGUGAUGACUCUGAAACAAAUGAAAAAUUUAAAUAUUUCAUUGAACAAAAAAAUGUGUAUGCUACAAACUUAAGAUAUUGCGUAUCAUCAAACAUAAGUUAUAACAAUUCAUUUAAUAUAUUAUUAAAAAGUAUUUUGUGUGAAAAUGUAUAUAGUAUAAAUAAAUAUUCUUAUUUGAUGAGAAAUAUAAAAAUUGGUAGAAUCAGUAAGUUAUUAAAUGAAAAUGAACAAGAAAAAGAACAAGAAAUGGACAAAAGAGCGUCAAUGGUUUUAGAAAAAUCUGAUAUUUUAAAAAAAUUAGAAAAAUUGAAUGCGAACGUUUUAAAUAAUGUAAUAAUAGAAAAGGAUGCAAAAGGACUAGAAUCAACAAAAAAAUUAUAUAAGGAAAUGGAGGGGAAAAUGAAUAUAUUUAAACGUGAUAUAACAAAAAAAGAACCCAAUAUAAAAAGUGUGUGCACAGUUUUAACAGACAUUUCAAGCACAUUUGAAACAAUGCAACUUGUAUAUACAAAAUGUGCCUUGAGUUAUUUAGAAAGAAAGCAUAUGGAUAUAAAUAAAAAGAUUCUCGAAAAAAUGAAAUUAAUAGAUUUGACAAAAGAUGAUAUAAGAAACAUAUUAGAACAUAUAACUGAAAAUAACACAGUGUAUCAAUUAAAAAAUCAUGAUUACCUUACCAAUCUUAUUACAAAUUACAAAGAAAUCAUUAUAUCAUCAUGUCAUAUACUAAAAAAUGAGCCUCUAUUACUUAACAUGUGCUAUCUUACAUACAAUUACAUGAAAUAUUGUAAUUAUUAUGACGAUUUGUACAUCCAUUGCUUUAAUCGGUCGCAUAAUGAGAUAAACGGUUUAUUAAAUGGGGCAAAGAACUAUUUUGUGCAGCUAAGUAAGAACCUGACUGGGAAAGAAGACUCGAAAAUGCACUCAGAAGAGAACACAAUUGAAAUACAGCACAAUAAAAAAAAUCAUAAAUCAAAGAAAAAGCGUAAGAACAUACACAAAAUGAGUAAUAAAGAAAAAGAAAAAGAAGAAAAAGAAAAAGAAAAAGAAAAAGAAGAAAAAGAAAAAGAAAAAGGAGAAAAAGAAAAAGAAGAAAGAGAAAAAGAAGAAAAAGAAGAAAAAGAAGAAAAAGAAAGGAUUAAUAAUUUUAUGGACUCAUUAAUAAAUUAUUCGAUUAGUAACAUAAAAACAUUGGAACAAGUACAAUUUACUAUACAAGAAAUAGAUAAUGAUUAUGAGUUUUUUAUGAUACAAAAUUCACAUAUGGGUGAAUAUUUGGUGUUUUGCCCUUAUUUAGUUAACGUUUAUGAAAAUUUUCAUAUGUUUUAUAACAUUUUUAAAAUAUUUAAAGAAAGUAAUAUAGGCUUAUGUGAAAAAAAAGAAGAAGAAAUAUUUACUAUUAAGGAUGCUUUUUCGGAUAUAAACGAAGUUCACUUUUUGAAUUACCUAAAAAAUAAAGAAAGAAUAGUAAAAGUGAGUAAACAAAGUAGAUUGGACAAGGAUGUAAAUAAAUUAGUUCAUAGUAAACGUAAAUUAGGUAAUGUAGAUUCAAUCAAAUUGUCAUCCCAUUCACACCUACGCGAUCAGAACGAUAAAGAAUAUAUAACACAUACCGACUUAAAAAAGGGCAAAUGUACAAUUAAUUACGAGGACAAUACUGAUGACAUCUCCGUGUUAAAUGUGCUUGAUCAAAUACCAAACAAAGAAAAUUCAAUGAUAUAUGAUACUUUAAUUUAUAAUGCAGUACCUUACAUACUUAACUGCAAUUUAUAUUAUUUAAAAAUAUUACAAGGAAUUUAUAAAAAUAAAAAUACAAAACAAGGCUUAUUUAAAUAUUUAUCGUUAUUAAAAAAUGAAGAAUAUUUUGUUUCUUAUUUCAAAAGGUACGAAUACGUAAUACUAAGAAUUUUCCAGGAAUAUUAUGAAAAAGGAUAUACAAAAACACUUAUAUAUUUUUAUGGAGAUAAAAUAAAUUCUAACACAGCAAAUAAUAUAAUACAACUAUUCAUAAAAUAUUGUAAUUUUCCAAGCUAUUCUUCUUUUUGGAACAUUGUUCUUGAAGAAGGAAAAGAAAAAAACAUUUUUAUUCCACAUAAAAAAUAUAUAUACGACUACGAAUAUAGCCGAUAUUUACAAUGUAUGUUGCGAACAGUAAAAUUUGAUUGUGGUCCCCAUGAAACUCAAAAUGCAGGUUCAUUAACCGUAUUGGAAAAUAUACAUAAGUGUAUGCAAAAAAAUAUAGAUAACAAAAUAUACACAAAAUCAUUGUUAAAUAAAAAAAAUAAAUUAUAUAAUACAUAUACAUAUCUUCAAGAGUCGUUGGACCGAAGUAAAUAUAAAGCUCAAAAAUUAAUUGACACACAUAAUAUAACUAUAAAUUCAGAACGACUUAAUUGGUUUUUUACUGAUAUUUUGUUUUGUUUUGUCAUUGGCAAUUUAUAAUGGCACUAUCAUUUAAAAAAAAAAAAAAAAAAAAUAUAUUAUUCGAAAUUGCUUAAAAUGUGUUUGUGUAUUUGUAUCAUUAUGCUUGUUCGCAAGUGCAUACAAAAUAUUACAUAAUUUUGAAAAUUUGUUCAUUUGUUAUAUAUUUUUAUCCCUACCUUUUUUCCCUUUUAAAUUAAUGGGAACGUUGUGAAAGAGGGUCUUACCCUUUUUUGCUUUCUCUUUUUUCAUUUUUCAUUUUUCAUUUUUCUUUUUUCUUUUUUCUUUUUGGCAUAUUUCUUUUUUGUAUACAAAAUUAUAUGCAUUCAUAUUAAACUAACUUAAUUAUAACAAUUUUAUUAAAAAUUAAAUAUAUAUAUAUACAUACACAUGAAGAUUACGCACUAAUCAUUUGAAUAAUACAUCAUAUCAUUUUUCAAGGAUUUUUUUUUUUUCAAAUAUUUCAAGAGGCGUUCUAC